CUGCAGAUACACCGUCUCCGCAAGGGAGAGUUGCAAGCAGCAGCUCCCCUCCCCAACUUCACCCCCAACAACACUUGGCGCAGCUCGCCAUUAGUUGCGGCCACGCAGGGCAUUCAGCAGUGCCUUCACGUUCUUCAGCCUUUCUUCCCUUUUCAAUCUUAUCUCUCCUGCUGCAACUGCCGCUAUGAACAUCGAGGAAGACCUCACCAUCGUGUCCUCGUGGGCACAAAAGGCUUACCAGUGCUUCGCGAGUGAACUGGAGGAGUUGCAGGAGCUGCAGCAGCAGCAUGAGCAGCUCGAGGCGCAGUCGCAGCAGGAGCUGGAGGCGCGAUGCAAGGCGGAGGUGGACGCGCAGCUGCUCAAGGAGCUCCCGGACGUUUUCCCGCACCUCGCCUCGGCUGUCUCGCUGUCGCGGUCUGCCAAUGCGAAGUCGUUGCCGACACCGCCGUCGUCAUCGCCGUCGUCUGCGCGGUCCAGCACGAAGCGGCCCAGGUCGAAGCACGCACAUCAGCAGAGGCAGUCUGAGGUGGCUCUCUUUAAUGCCAAGCGUGAGGCGCUUCUUCAGCAAAACAUUCAGGCUGCCAUGGCAGCCCAGCGGCGACGACCAGCGCGCCAGCUCGCCGUGCAGUACGCCGAUCAGCUGAGCAGCACGCAGAGGCAAGUGGAGCUGUACUUGGAAAGAGAAGCGCAUGAGCUGCGCCGCUUCACCAGCAAGCCGGCCGGCGCGUACGCUUUGCGUGAAGUGCUCGAAGUCCCCACGUUCGCCGCAGCUCCCGCUGUACCCGCUCCAGUAGCGGCGGCGCCACGCGCCGCGUCUGUGCCCCACCCAGCCCCGUAUUCGGCGCUGAAGCGCCGCAGAGCGUCGUUCGCGCUCAGUGAAGGGACAACCACGACCACGCUACGCGGCACAUCGGAGCGGAGCGGCGCCGUUCUGAGCAGCCUUGCCCCGACCCGGCAGAAGGCGAGGAGGGAUGGCCGUUUGGGGUGCCCCGAUAGCGCCGCGGUCGCUCGCGCGCGCAUCGCAGACAAAAGCGGCGCUGCCGUGUCGGCGAGCGCCCGUCGCAGCCGCCAAGAGGCGGAGGACGCAUCGUCGCUCGCGGUACCGCCGCCGUUCAUGAUCGACGCCCACCGGUUCGCAGUGGAAUACAACGAGAUGCUGAAGAAGGAGUACGGCUAUCGCCCCGCCAUGACGAACACGUUUGCCGCUGAUGUGCACAGAGAAAGUUGCGAGGCCGCGGACGUUGUGGCGGCGCUGAACGAUCAGCUGCGCACGCACGAGCCAGGGAUGACGAGCAAGAGGCCAGCCGCUACCGCUAGCAGCAGUUUGCUGCCACCCCUGCUUGAAGCGGCAGCGUGCUGCGCCGCGCCGCGGCUGCUACCUCCUCACGCAAGCGAUGCAGAGAGUAGUGGCAGCAGGGAGUCAGAGCAUCGGCCAGCGCACUCCUUUCGGACGCAGAAGCAGCCACAGACGCAGCCGGGCACCAAGAAACGGGUCACCACCGGUGGCAGCAGUAGCAACCCUCGGCAGAAGGGACGGACUCUGCCGGCGUUGUCUUCAGUGCGAGGCGGUGCCUUUGCUCUGUCGACUGCGAACCCUCUCGAUGGCGUCCAGUGCUCCAUCGCUGGCGGCCAUCUCUCUCUUUCUGCCUGCGUAGGGGUGCCGAGCCGGCAGGUCGUCCGGUUUGUGAAUAACAAUGCCUACCGAACCCGGCUGCGUCUGAAGCCGGCUUCGCACCCGUGGCUUACGUACCGCUCCGUUUGCAUUGCACCCUCCGCUGCUGCUGCGGCGACGGUGGCGCCAGAGUCGCCGCUGAACUGCGGCGGCUACGUAGAGGUGGAGGUUGUCUUCUGCCCCACCUCCUUCGAGGCGUCCACGGCGACGUUGGAUACGGUGCUGGAGAUGGGCGUGACGCGAGAGUUGAAUGAUCGCACCGGAGAGGGCGCGCAAUGGCGGUUCAUGUCCGUGCCGUUGCAGGCGCGGGUGGUGCUGCCGCAUUUUGACUGGUGGCGCAGCCCCACUGCGGCCGUCACGAGGUCCAUAGAAGGCACGGAGAAGUUGGUGCCCGACCAGGCGCCGGUGGUUCAGGCAGAGGAAGAGACCAACGACGGCGCCAAUGCGAUGGAUGCAAGAGGGUCUGCCGCUGCACAGGCGCCACCGCUCAUCACUCAUGACGCACUUGCCUCUCGCUCAGUGCGCCUCGACGUGAGCGGUUCUUCCGCAGCAGUCGUGGCCUUUGGCGAGGUGCUUCUCCUCGCCGAAGUGAAGCAGACGCUUUACCUCGAGAACACAGGUUCCACGGCAGUGGUGCACGUCCUGAGCUCGUCACCGGAGUUUACCGUGUCGGUGCCGGCGGUGGUGUCCACGACGCUGCCUCCCAGCCACGCUAUGCCACUCCACGUGUCGUUCUGUCCAUUGUCGGAGGGCCCAUGUGAGGCAAGCUUGACGGUGGCGGUGCGCGCCAGCGAUGCCGCAGACAGCCCCGUCCUUGCAGAGCAUACACUGGCGCUCUUCGGCGUCGGUGUUGCGCCGCGUGUUAGGAUUACCUCGCUUGGGCCGCAGCUGGUUCAGGAAUGUGCCGUGCCGCAGUGGCAGCAGUGCAAGAGCGAGGUGCCACUCCACAUCCUUCUGAGGGGCACGAUACCAGGUGUGCCGACGGAGGUGCCGGUGACGGUGAGCAACGACUGCGCCGUCGCGCUGCCUUAUCACUGGCGCGGCUGCGAGCCUCCAUUCACGGAGGAGAGCGGCAGCGAUACGGAGGAGGAUCAGAGAGGUACGGACGAGAGAGACCAGGCGUGUACCCCGAGGCUGCAGCUUACCACCACCACCACCACCUCCACCGAAGCUACUGCCGUCGGUGUGGGCGCCAGCAGGACUUCUCACAUCACACCGUCCUUUGGAGUACUGCCGCCGAUGAGCACGACCACGUUCAUCCUCACCGUGACGCCGCGCACACUGCAGCCGCUGCAGACGCUCUACAAUCUCUUCCUCGACAAGAUGCCCGACCCCACCGCGCCGCGGAAUGCAGCGAAGCUACCGUUUGUGGACGCGGAGGUGCUGGAGCUGUACCGCCGCAAUCGACCCAUUCCUUGCGGCUUGCAUGAUUCGACGCAAGACAGUGGCAGCCCUCUCGCCGACGACGCUGUACGUGCGGCGGCGCUUCCCGAUGGACUUCAGAUGACUUACCUGGAUCCUAUCGCCGUCUUCGCACGGUUUCGAACCGCGCAAGGCCAGCACGAUGGUCACGCCAGCGCUGACGCCGUCUUCGCCACCGGCUUCUUGACCUAUCAGCAGCCGGUGCUGCCCACCCUCUCCAUUGACCCGGCGGUGCUCGAGGAGCGCGUCGAGUGCCUCAUCCAGUCCCGAACAACGCGCACGGUGUCGCUGCACAACAAUUCGCCCAUUGAGAUGCACUUCGUGCUGGACCCAACCGCUGCCGAGUUCGCUGCUUCUGUCCAGGAGCAUGCAUACCUAGCUCAGCACACGAGCACCGACCUCACGCAUGAGCGCUGGCGCGCCUCCUUCGCAGCCAGUGACGGCAUCUCCGUGCAGUGCCAGCCUCGCAAGGGCCGAAUACCACCGCACAGCACGGUAACCAUCACUGUCCACUUCACGCUGGAGGCAAUUGGGCCGCACUACGCCGUUGUGCCGUGCUGGGUACCAGAGGUCGAGCUGCUGUGCGCGCGUUUGGCCGCAGUGAGCACCGCUUCCACAGGCGGGUUCUCAAAGUGUACGUCACUAUCCUUGCCGGCAAACCCACGAGGGGCCACCGGCGCCGGUGCGGCGCGCCGACGCACACUCUUGACCUCGCCACCGCAGGAGAGGACGACGCUGAGGGUCGGCAAGCGUCCACUCACGGCCAACAGCGCCAGCGGAGGCGCGAGGAAGCUGUCGAAGCCCGCGUCAACGCCCGGCAACGGAGGAGGGACGCUGCCCGUGACAGUGACAGCCGUGGAGGACGUGCACCAGCAGCAACACGCUGAGGACUGGGGCUACUACGCUCUGCAUGUCACGGCCACCGGCGUUGGCCCGACUGUCAUGACCAGCGCUGAGCUGCUGGACUUUGGGCUGAUCGAGCUCGGCCAGGAAGCGGCGGCCUCCUUCACCGUGUCGAACCCGAACUCCAUCCCUGUCGUAUUCGACCUCUGUGACCCGCUCAUGCGCCACCCGCCGCGCUUUGUGUUCAUUCCCGAAUCGUGCCGCCUCGGCGCUGGCAACACGGUCGAGGUCACAGUGUACCGCAAGGUCGUCUCCACCGAGGACGCGCAGACGUUUUUCGAGCUCACCGUACGUGACGGCGGCGCGUCGGUCGCGAUCGAGACGCGCGCAACGAUUCAGCAGCCGCUGCUCGUCAUUGAGGAUCCCGUCGUGCAGUUCGGCGUCGUGCCGGAAGGCGUGUGGCAGUCCGGAGCCUUCCACGUGUCGAACCGGUCUGCGCUCGACACCGUCUUCACUGUCAUUCCGGCAACCCCGGUGCCAUCGUACAUGGAGCUAGACUACAAGGCUGAGCACGUCUUACGCGCCGGGGAGCAGCUGACAGUGCCGGUGCGCUGCCGCUUCGAAGUCUGCUCUCUUGCACUUGUGAACCGAGACGAUCGGCGUGACACAUCAGCGUCGCUCGUGAGUUCGCAGGGGCAUACGGCUACUGCGGCAAGGGCCAAGGACUGCUACUCGACCCUGCUCGGCGUUGUGUCGAAACGCAGCCGGCAGGCGCUGUUUGUGGAGGUGCGGUGUGACACCGUCGAGCCGCUGGCCGUCUCCGUAGACGUAGCACCGGAAGCGUCGCCGAACGACCGUGGAGUAGCUUCUUCGCCGGUACGUAUGUCCACAGAGGCAUACGUGCGAGCACUUCUCUGGAACGCGCUCGAGGCUGCCUUGUGCGCGCGUGCCACUGCCGCACUGGAUGGCUCAGUGAUGUGCGAUGAGCAGGCAACCACUCUCGUGGCACACCCUUACUGCGCAGCGCUGAGUUUGGUCGACUACAUACCCGAUGACGUCCCCAUCUCCCGCCGCUCCCUGACGGUGAUGCUGGAGAACUACACUGGCUGCGAGGCGAACUACGACGUGCGUGCGAAGCACUUCACGCCACUGCCGAUGGAGGCGCCGGGUGCGCAGGACAUUCUGGACAAGCGGCGCAAGAGGGCGGAGAGGGGGGCCAGUCGCAGUGUCAGCAGCAGCACGCAAGCAAGCCGCGCCGGUGCAUCAGGCAGCAGCCGCAAGACCACCCAAAUGCAACUGCAGAAGCCGCAGGAGCAGCCACUAUCGCCGUUCUCAGCACUGGCAUCCAGGGCAGCAGCAGGGAGCAACAGCAACGGCAGCAAGGGUGACGCCACGCUCCCGACCUUCUGGAUCACGAGCGUACAGAGCGGCGUAACGGUGCAGCAGCAGCAGCGGCAGAUUGUGGAGGCCGCGCAGAAGGUUCUCGGUGACGGUCGCGGCUGCGCGACCUUGCUCGGCUCCUUGACCGGCAGUCUGGGCCCGUACAGCCAGGUGCGGCUGCCUGUCCGCCUGCUGUGCAGCUUACCCGGUCGCUACGCGGAGCAGCUGUGCGUGCGCGCUGGCGCGACUCUGCCGUGGCUUCAAAUCCCUGUCGAUUACGAGGUGUACGGCAAGCCUAUUGUGCUCGAUACAACCACGUCGGGGCUCGUAAGGGAAGGUGGGCGAGACGGCAAGGAGGUGCUGCUGAUGCCGCCCGUGAUUGCGCCGCUUGGAACGUCACGGAGGUCAAUUCGGCUCAUCAACCGCGUGUCACGCGACAUGGACGUGACGGUGGAGGUGUUCCCGUGCCCGCUUGGCCUGGCUGUGCACGCAGUCGACCCGAACGCGCCGGCGGAUCAGGUGGAGCUCAGGUUAUGCUCCAUGAACGUGGAGGAUCGAGAGAAGGAGCGUCACCGUGUGGGGAGGGUGACAGCGACGCCGUUUCAGCUGCGCAUCCCCGCCCACUCGCAGCGGGAUGUGCUACUGGAGUUCACGCCGGCGGCGAAGCUCACAGAAGGGUCGGACGCGGACGAGUACGAUGAGGACCGCGGUGGCUCAUCGGGCCACGCUGCUUCGAAUAGCGGUAAGGGCCACGGCAGCGCAGGCACAAAGAGUUCUCCCACAGCCCAUGCCGCGGAUGAUAGCGAAGACGAGGAGGACGGCGAGGAGGCAAUGCUGCCGCCGUCGGAGCACUGGUGGGAGGGCAGUGUCUGCGUCCACGCUGUGCUGGCGCACAGCGAGCUGAACGACAUCUUCCUCGUCGACGACUUCUACGCUCGCUACGCGGACCGCUACCCGUCCCAGCGCGUGGCCCGCUCCAUCAGUGGAGCAACCUCAGCCGCCGGAUCGACGGCUGCGGCGGGCGGCUCAGCCGGACCCAGCCUGUCGGUGGCGCAGCUGGCUGUGAUGCGGCCACUGCGUACCCGCCCUGGCGGCCGAGUGGUGCGUGGCGGUCGUGUAGUAUGGCCCUUGGAGGCAGCACAGCGAGCCUCUAGCCGCACCGCGGUGACUGGUGACGCACUUGUGGCCAAAGUUGCUGCCACCACUGCUGCUGCUGCAGCUGCCAAGCCGGCGGAUAGCGGCGCUGAUAGCGACAGCGACAACUCCGACGACGAUGAGAGCAGCGGUAGGCUGACUGUCACCUCGCAGCGACCAGGCUCCGUUAUGCCACUGGAGGUGCUGCAGCGGGAGGCAGAGGAGAGGCAGGAGCUUCUGGCCUUCAUGACAAGCCGCCGUCGCGCACUGCAGGAAGAGAGCCGCCGGUACUUUACGUCGAUCGAGUUGCGCUUGCGAGCGCGGUGCGGCCGGCCACACCUAACCGUCGAGCCCUCACAGCGGUGUGUCCGUUUUCCAGCGGUGCAGCACAUGGAAGGGCGAGCAGCAGCAGCAGCAGCAGCAGCUGCCUCGGCCGCGUCGCUCUGCACGAAAACAAUAAGGCUAACGAACCGCAACAGCUCGUCGCUGCGCUUUGCCCUGUCGUUGCCCGCAGCCAAAAGCAGCGGUGCUGCAAACUUGUUUUCCAUCGUGAGGUGCGCCCUGUGGCGCUCCGGCCAUGAUGUGUCGACGGAACUGUUCACCUCUGCUUUGGCGACAGCUGCGGCUGGUGCGGCGGAACACGAGUACACGCUACAUAGCAUGGAUGCGCUUGACGUGCAGGUUGAAGCACACACAGGAAGCUCUGCGUGGCGACAGGCGUGCGAAGCUGUGUGCAGUGCACCACCACAACCCUCCCUGUCGGACAAGGCGCCUGCGGUGGAGGGGCUGCUGAGGGUGCAGUUCCUGCCCACGUCCGAAUCCGCUGAAACCGCGUGCGCCUCCCCCGACGACCGCGCCCAGGCACCUUGCCAGCUUCUUCCUCUCCGUGUGCCUCUCACACGGCCGUCGCUGGAGUGCAGCCCUGGCGUCGUGUGGUUCCGCCCAGGCCAGCAGCGCCACGACGGCCGCCAACAGGUGGCGUAUACGCAGAAGUUUAUGCUGCUCAACCGGAGUGCCGUCCCGGUGGCCUACCAAAUCCGCACCGUCACUGACACCGACGAGGAGACGGUGCGGACGUUCCGCCUUCAGCAGCGGCAAGGCACGAGCUACGGUGAAGCGGCUGUCUUCUCGCCUGCGGUCUCACAGUGUCUUUUGGUGGCCAAUACGACGACGACGCAGUUCGGCGUCUCGUCUACCCAGCGUCAGUGCGACUCGAUUACGCGUAAGGUGAACGCUGCCGUGGAGAUGCCUGCAGUGGCGCCGCCCGCGGAGGGUCGCCCGGACCUCGUAUACGUGGAUGAACCGGCGCGGUUCUCGCUUAGUCCACUAGAAGGCGUCGUCCCUGCCGCGUCGUUGGGCGGUGAGCCUGGCAGUCUUGAGGUGAGCGUCACCUUUGCCGAGUUCUCCGAUGUGCGGUACGAGUCGCUGUUCAAGGUGAUUGUCGUCGGCGCUGGCGCUCAGCCACCGACCUAUGUGGUGCUGCGUGGCGACAGCCGUGAUGCAGAGGUGUAGCGUUGUCUUCACGGCGCCCAUUCGUUCGUCUUAUCCUUUGCCUCCUUACUGGACCGAUGUACAAAACUUCUAUGUGCAGCUUCCUCUCUCAUUUUUAUUGCGACUGUGUGGGCACCUGUCCAACCCCCUCCUCACCCCCCCCCACCACACCACACACACACACACACAGACACACUCGGUUGUGUGUUGUCGCUGGUGCGUCUCCCUCGGGAGCGCUUGCAAAGCCGAGCCGACGACCCGAAAUGAUAACGGGCGGAUGCUGCGCUCAGGCAUGCAGACACGCACUGCGCCUGUGCCAAUGCAUGGGAGUGUGUGGCUCUCUCUCUCUCUGUCUGUCUCGCUCGAUGUGCGAGGGAGAGCCGCUGGUGCACAGUGCAAAGCUGCUGCUGCUCAGUCUACAACAGUUUGAUGGGGGAAGGUGGGCGCCGCCCCUCUGCACACACACACACACACACACACACUCACGCGACUUCCCUCGCCCUCUUUCUCUCAACACCGUCUCUACGUCUCACGGACUCCACCCGCACACGCCCCUUCCCCCCACCACCCGCAUCGGCAGCAACCCGAACCUGUUUCAAGUAGUGCAGGCGCGUGUUUUCCGUGUGCGUCUCUCUCGCUUUGCUUGUGUUUGUGUUGCACGCCGGUCGGGGCGCUUUCUGGAGUUGCUGUUGUGUGGCCACGGCUGUCUGCCGCCGGCGUGCAUGACACCAUCCCUCUUUCUCUUGCUCCUCCUCGUUUCGACACUUGCCGCGAUCUUUCCGCCCCCCCCCUCCCCCGCCGCACCGCCAUUCUGUUCUGUUUCGCGUUGCUCACUCAUUCGCGCAUCCCCAG
rnacentral:misc_RNA from 1 species